AGAAAUGCAAUGAGAAGGAAGAGUAGGAAUAGUUCAAUUUUCAGCGAUUCGGGAAAUGGUGAGAGCCCGAUAAUGAUGGCUAUUUCGAAGACACCUUUAAGCAGGCUGUCUGAAUGUACAGUAGGACGGCACGCAUACCGGCGUUAACGGUAAAAGUGGGAUUUUCCAAUUAGGGUGGUACCGCGGGAUAUAAAACUUCUCGUCCCUGUC
rnacentral:ncRNA from 1 species